GGGUUACUCCCUGGCGCUCUCGCGCUGUUUUGAUGAAGAUUCGCACCUCUAUCAAAACGGGUAACCCCACCCUUUGGCAAGGCCCUGCUGUCAGAUCAAGUCUGAACUUCUACAGGUAAAGCACCGAAGUGACACACAACGAUGGCACCGUCCGCGGCCCGUCGUGCUCCCUUGGUCAUUUCCAUCACGCUCACCCGUCG
rnacentral:sRNA from 1 species